rnacentral:lncRNA from 1 species
UGGCCUUUUUAUGUAACAGCCCGGCCAUCCUCCGUGACCGGCACUGUCUUAACAUCCCCUCACCCUCACGGGAUCCGGGCAGGAUUUGUCCCUCGGGAGAGCACCUACGGCCCAUCUUACCCCAAGUGGAUUUGGCCCAAAUUUCCCUUUGGAAAUUAGGUCGCCUCCCCCACUGCUCGAACCCUUGACCUCCCGCUUUAAGAGAAUAGUCUGGUGAGAGUGAGUACCAAUUGUUCCAAU